UGCCACAUGACUUACUGAGUGCCUACUGUUUGUCAAGAACUUGAAACACUAGAGUGCAUGUCUUUUAGGAAGUUAUCUUUCAACUUGUAUCGUUUCACAGAUACUACAUAAUGAUGAUAAUGAUGAGUACCGACCAUUUAAAUUCCAUAAACUUCUUUUAUAUUGUGACUUUUUCAGCAUAAUAUAAAUGUAUAUUAUGAAUAGUAGUGUGGUAAUGAUUAGAGCUGCUAUACUUUAAAGUAAGUUGAGUAAUGUUGAGUAAAAUGAAAGCAAAAACCCUGUCACAACAGCAGCAAAACAAAACCAAAACUGGCAAAUAAUCCAAGGUCUGAUGAGAAAGAGAAGUUGGAAUGAAGAUACUUUGUCAGUUCUAAUUAUCCUAAUUUGAGAAACCAAAGAGGCCCACCAGAUGUUACUACAUGAGUUAAUUCUGUCUUCAGCAUUAAAAGUAAUUAACUUACAUGCUAACACUUGUACAAUUUCUUAGACUGGAAUUAAAUUCACAUGUUACCGCUUUCUGUCAGGCUGUCUUGAAACAAAAGCCCUUAUUAGAAUGAUGUAAAUUCCUCGUAAAUGAGAAGAUUCUGGUUAUCGACUCAUAGAUUGACUAACCUUAGAGGAGACUGUUUAGGCCAGGGUUUAGGGUUCAUUUGUGGCAAAGAGUGGGGCCUUAAACCUUGGUUAUCCUGGUUCCUUACUUGGCGGCAUGGCUGCUGCUCAUUGAUUCCCUGGACUCAUUUCUUUGGUCUAUUCAACUCCUGUAGAGCUCUGUAAAGGGAAGGUAACCUGAGGCAGUGAUGCUGUGGCUGUAUUUGCCAUCUACUGGUUACUUUAUUGAAUGUAAUAUGGCCACUAACAUAUUAUUGAAUGCCAGGCAGUUGUCUUUAAGUGCUUCACAUAUAUAUCUGGCUUUUAAAUGCUUACCUCAAGUCUUUGUUAAGUUUAUUCAAGUUUACGAGCAUCUUGAAGCCCAGGGUGGUCAAAGGGUCUGGAAAUACCCAGUGGCCUGAGAUUUGAUUGUAGGCCACCCACAUCAGAAGCUAGGCUUGUAACUUGACUGUGGAGCAAAAAUAUUUUAUGUUUUAGAUUUUCCUGUACACAUUUUUGUGUCUUUGACCUAAUCUUGCUUAAUCUUGACUUUAUAAUUCAUAAAAGAUGAAAAUAAAUCUCAGUUCUGUUUCCAUCAUGGAGUUUUCAUUGGUUUUAUAUAUAUAUAUGUAUGUAUGUAUUUUGGCUGCAACUGCACCAUGCAGAACUUCCAGGCCAGGGAUCAAACCCAUGCCACAACAAUAACCCAAACCACAGCAGUGACAAUGCCUAUUCCUUAAACUCUAGGCCACCAGGGAAUAUCUGUGACAAAUUUUAAUGUUCAAAAAAUAUUUGGAAACUGUAAAAUACUACAAAGUGUGUUGAUUAUUAUUAUUACUUGGCACUAUUGAAAGCCCCCUUAUUUACUGUUGUUCUUUUUGGCCUUGUGACAAUAAUAUAUUUCAACCUUUUUUCCAGCGUUUCUGACUAUUGCUUUUGUUUUUUCUGGCACAAUUUUCUUUUAGUACCUACAGAAAAAGGGGGUAAAAGCCCAGAUCCUAUCUUUGACUCUGGAGAAUUUAGAUGUUGCCUAGUCAGACUUCAUCUUUGAGAUGAGGAAGUAAAUUUUGAGCAACUGAUGCCCUGGGUUACUUUUAUCAGAGAUGAUAAAUGUUCAUGGAUUCUGUUACCUUGUCUAAAGUCCUUCCAGUGCAAAUGCUGGGCUGAUUUAGUGUGGGCAUUUCUACAUCUUAUUUUUACCUCAAAGUGUUUCAGAUUUGAAAAUUAGUAAUUAAAAUAUAUCAAUUUUAAAUGUAAAUAUUUUAAGACUAGUUCUGUAUAAGAUUGCGAGUAGCAACAUCCGUUAAAAGCAGAAAAUGGAAAAGAUUUAACAAAUUGAUUCCAUAAUAAAAAGAUAUUCAGUGUCCGGGCAGAAUAACAGAAACAUCUGUUUUAUGUCUUUGGGGGAGGGAAAAAAACCUAAUUAGUUUGGGACUGAUUCAGAUAGAUGUCAUUUUAAAUUACUUUCUUCUGUUUACCAAAAUAAUACAAUUGGAUGGAGUAACCACAAUAAAGAAGAUAGGUUUAAAACAGAUGUCUGAUAAGACAUUCACACUACGAAAAACUAUAUAUGAAACUGCCUUCUAGGCAGAUUUAUGCAGAACUAAAUGUUGGGUCAUUUCUCAAGAAAAACAAACCUUGAUGGGAGUGCACAAAGGUAGCACAGUUUUCAUUUUUAAUCAAUAAAGAAUAUCAGUUGAUCAAGCUAGGCUGAAUAAUGUGGUUUGUAUUUGAAGGGGGAAGAGGUAGAUGGUGAAGGGAAUUGAUUAAUCAGUCCACUAUAGAAACCGACACAAAUCUUUUUUUUUUUUCAAAUUUUAAUAUUUUUCUUAUUUGCUCUAUCUUGAUUUCACUUUGGAUUGUGGAUGUACUUCUGUCUACCUCUUAUAUGCAUUUACACAUACACACAUUUUCUUAGUUAAGCCAUAAUACAUAAAUAAGCUUGCAAGUAGUAGCAUCAAUAUAUUCAUGAGUCUAAUCUAGAAAUAUUUCCACUAAACUUAAUCAAUUCUUUGUCUCAGGGUUUUCUCUGAGUAAUGAAAAGAGGAUGGUUAGAAUGUUAGUCUGAGAUGGCAGCAACUGAUUCUCACCAAAGCAUAAAGGAAUUUUUAUUUGAAUUGAGUAUUUAAGGUAAAAGCAAAGAGCUAGUUUUAAACUCCAUUAGCUAACUGAGGAUCUUUGGGUGUUUUCUUAGUAAUAAAACUACCUUCAUAACCUAUAAAGAACAGAUACUAUAGAAAUUAUUUUGUAACUGAGUAUUUUUCUUUCCCUGAAGACUAUUUUAAGUCCUCAAAUACUCAUCCAUUCUUUGAAAAUAGUUCUUGUACAUCUACACACAGUGCAUAGGACAAGUAUUUUGUAGGAUGAAUAUACUCUUGUCUCACAGAAUUCUUGAUUCUUAAAGGAAUGUAGAUUAUGAUUGAGGUGAUUUGGGUUGUGGGAGGGGAACUCGUUUAAUAUACUUCAUGAAUGUGUGUAGAGACAGUGAAUCUCAUCCUGUGUGGGUGGUGUAACUGAGUAGGGUCCUGUGGGGCUCCUGCGCACAAAAGCCUCUCUGGGUUCCCCAUUUCUUGUUUUUAGGAAAUGGGCCUCAUUCAGCCACUGUAGCCUUCCCUGAGUCCCAAGGAGGUUCAGACAGUUGCUGAUCAGGGAGGGGAGGGGAUGCAAAGACGAUGGAGGAACAGUCAAGAAACAAUGGUACAGGAGUUCCCGUGUGGCUCAGUGGUUAAUGAAUCCAACUAGGAACCAUGAGGUUGUGGGUUCGAUCCCUGGCCUCACUCAGUGGGUUAAAGAUCUGGCAUUGCUGUGAGAUGUGGUAUAGGUCGCAGAUACAGCUCAGAUCCCCCAUUGCUGUGACUCUGGCAUAGGCCAGCGGCUACAGCUCUGGUUGGACCCCUAGCCUGGGAACCUCCAUAUGCUGCGGGUGCGGCCCUAG
rnacentral:lncRNA from 1 species